rnacentral:lncRNA from 10 species
GGGACCUCACAUUCUGUAUUUGUCCCGAUUGGCUAGCCACUUAGAACUUUUUAAAAGAGGCAAAGGUAGAGGGAACAAAGGAAGGAGGAAGUAACUUGUAGAAUGCUGAAGAAAGUAAAAACACUUUUAAAUAAGGAAGAGGAACAAGCUAUGACCUAAUGCUUGCUUGGACCAGUUUAAACAUGCAAGGUUCUACCAAAGUAACAGAUAAAAUUUGAGUCCACAAAUUAACACUUCACAGUCUCAUCAUUGGAAGAAACCAGAAAUAUACUUCCAGUGCUUUGGUGUCAUCAAGAAUAUACUGAAGAGGAAAUAGAACUCAGAUAUGGGAAGAAAGUACUUAUGUGAUCCAGCAGCGGUUAUGCCUGGUGUAGAGACAAAAUAUAUGUGCUGCUUUCCAAUGAGCCAGUUUAAAUUCACCGCUCAUGAUGGAG